AACGAACGCUGGCGGCAGGCUUAACACAUGCAAGUCGAACGCCCCGCAAGGGGAGUGGCAGACGGGUGAGUAACGCGUGGGAAUCUACCCAGAUCUACGGAACAACAGUUGGAAACGACUGCUAAUACCGUAUACGCCCUACGGGGGAAAGAUUUAUCGGAUUUGGAUGAGCCCGCGUUGGAUUAGCUAGUUGGUGGGGUAAUGGCCUACCAAGGCGACGAUCCAUAGCUGGUCUGAGAGGAUGAUCAGCCACACUGGGACUGAGACACGGCCCAGACUCCUACGGGAGGCAGCAGUGGGGAAUUUUGGACAAUGGGCGCAAGCCUGAUCCAGCCAUGCCGCGUGAGUGAAGAAGGCCUUCGGGUUGUAAAGCUCUUUCGGACGGGAAGAAAUUGGUGGGGCUAAUAUCCCCAUCGGAUGACGGUACCCGGAGAAGAAGCCCCGGCUAACUA
rnacentral:rRNA from 1 species